rnacentral:sRNA from 1 species
AGCUUCCGCAACGGAAAGUGUGAGUUUUUCAGGAAUUGUUCAAAUGGAUGAAGAUACACAUUACGAUAAAGUGGAAGAUGUGGUUGGAAGUCACAUAGAAGAUGCAGUAACAUUUUGGGCCCAGAGUAUCAAUAGAAAUAAGGAUAUCAUGAAGAUUGGUUGCUCACUGUCUGAAGUUUGCCCCCAGGCCAGUUCAGUUUUGGGGAAUCUUGACCCGAACAAGAUUUAUGGUGGAUUAUUUUCUGAAGAUCAGUGUUGGUACAGAUGCAAAGUACUGAAAAUCAUCAGCGUUGAAAAGGCAGGAAAUUAAGUGUUCAGUUUUUUUUUUGCUUUAAGAAAUAUUUAUUGUGGUUCAAAAAUUUGAUGCUUAUUUAGCCCUUCAUUGCUUAUUCAUAGUACUGAUACCUGGUUCAGUGAUUAAAACACAGAAGAAAUUAAUUGCUAAAAAACAUGUUGUUUUAUAAUCACUUCAGAUUAUUCAAGAAUCGAUUAUAUAAUAUGUAGGUUAUUUUUGGUGACUAGUUCUUUUUACCUCAGUUCUUUUUUUUUUUUUUUUGAGAUGGAGUCUUUCUGUGUCGUCCAGGCU